rnacentral:rRNA from 1 species
CAGCCCCUCGAGUGGUGGGGAUGAUUAUUUGGCCUAAAGCGUCCGUAGCCGGCCGAGUAAGUCCCCCGUUAAAUCCAGCGUCUCAAGCGUUGGACUGCGGGAGAUACUACUUGGCUAGAGAGUGGGAGAGGUCAGCGGUAUUCUGGGGGUAGGGGCGAAAUCCUUUGAUCCCCGGAGGACCACCAGUGGCGAAGGCUGCUGACUAGAACACGUCUGACGGUCAGGGACGAAAGCUGGGGUAGCGAACCGGAUUAGAUACCCGUGUAGUCC